UACGUAGGGGGCAAGCGUUGUCCGGAAUCAUUGGGCGUAAAGAGCGUGUAGGCGGCCCGAUAAGUCCGCUGUGAAAGUCCAGGGCUCAACCCUGGGAUGCCGGUGGGAUACUGUCGGGCUCGAGUCCGGAAGAGGAGUGUGGAAUUCCGUGGUGGUAGCGGUGAAAUGCGCAGAUAUCAGGAGGAACACCAAUGGCGAAGGCAGCACUCUGGGACGUGACUGACGCUGAGACGCGAAAGCGUGGGGAGCAAACAGG
rnacentral:rRNA from 1 species